rnacentral:rRNA from 1 species
CACUUUUUCCUGUCGCGUAAAAAAAAGUCUUUACGCGAGAGCAAUAGAGGUUGGGAUACAUCUAUCUCUUCUGAGCAACCUCUUUUGUCGGAGUGA